rnacentral:lncRNA from 1 species
UUAAGCUGACUAUUCAUGAAACUCAACAUAGGUACACUAUUUAUGAAAUUGAAAACGAGUACACUAUUUAUGAAACUCAACACAGAUACACUAUUUAUGAAAUUGACCAUUUAUGAAACUCAACAUGAGUAUACUAUUUAUGAAACUGAAAACGGGUACGCUAUUUAUGAAACUCAACAUGAGUACACUAUUUAUGAAACUGAAAAUUGGUACGCUAUUUCUAAAACUAACUAUUUAUGAAACUGAAAAUGGGUACGCUAUUUUUGAAACUACCUAUUUAUGAAACUGAAAACAAGUAAGCUAUUGGGUCUAGCGUAAGAUCAAAGUUGAUAGCUUGUGGGUCUAGCGUCGUCACUCCUUUCUUCUUCCUCCCUGUCCUGUCUAGGGAAUGGUAAUCAUCCAAGCAUAUCACCGUCAUGAUGUUGUUGAUGAACAUGUUGGAAAGAGAAAUCAUACACUCCCAAUUCAUAAAAAAUAAAUAAAUAAAUACAAUCCCCCAUUUAUAAAAAAUAAAAAAUAAAAAAUACAUGGAUGCAGAAAUACACAGAGACCACAAACAAUUCAUUAGCAUGGAUGAAUUUACAUCAAUGAAGCACUACUAAUUUUGCAUUUAUUCUCUUAGCCAUAAACAUGACAUAGAUUACAUGACAAAGUCAAAAGUGAAUCCGAAGCUACAACACCGACAAAAGAAGGAAGGGGAUAGAGUUUUUCUGUUUACCUUUUUCAUUCAUGAAUUCGCAAACCUUGAGAUCUCCGUCGUUUGUUUGUUCAUCCAAUUUGAAGCCAUGGCCUAAAAUCAAAGUCCUACACAGCAACAACAUGCAUGAGUAAUAUAUUGAGCUUUUCAUUCCAAUUCUUUGAAACAUAACAUUAAAGAUGAAGGAUGGCAAAUUCUUACCUUUGCGAUAUCGGAGAAAGGGAUGGAGAUGCUCUAGCUUAAGUUUGGGGGUUGCAAAUUUGGUGAAGGUUUGUUUGCGGUUUGAGCAUCUUGAGGUGGCUCUGGUUGGUUGAAGGAUGAUUGAGGUAGGGUUUGGUAUUUGGACGAAGAAGAAGAUAUUGUUCCGCCAGUUUCAGAG